rnacentral:rRNA from 1 species
UGGGGAAUAUUGCGCAAUGGGGGAAACCCUGACGCAGCGAUACCGCGUGGGUGAAGAAGGUCUUCGGAUUGUAAAGCCCUUUCAGCAGGAACGAUGAUGACGGUACCUGCAGAAGAAGCCCCGGCUAACUCCGUGCCAGCAGCCGCGGUAAUACGGAGGGGGCGAGCGUUGUUCGGAAUGACUGGGCGUAAAGGGCGCGUAGGCUGCUCUGCAAGUCAGGAGUGAAAUCCCUGGGCUUAACCGAGGAAUUGCUUUUGAAACUACGGAGCUGGAGGCCGGCAGAGGGUGGCGGAAUUCCCCGUGUAGAGGUGAAAUUCGUAGAUAUGGGGAGGAACACCAGAGGCGAAGGCGGCUGCCUGGACCGGAUCUGACGCUGAGGCGCGAAAGCGUGGGGAGCAAACAGG